UCUGGUGUGUUUCAAAAUGGUUCCUUUUCCCCUCUCUGUGCCAGAAGCCCAAGAGGAUUUUUCUCUAUUUCCUGUGAGGACCUGGUCAACCUUUUGGAGAUAUUGAUGCCUUCAGUUGAGAUUAAUUGGAUGUGGUUUCUAAUUAGCAAGAUAAAAAGUUGUGAAGAGGCACAAGUAAAUGAUGGCACUGUAUCGUCAACCGCUCUCCACCUCCUUUUGGACUGGUGUAGUCACCUGCCUUUCCUGCUACACACUGGUUUGGUGGGAAAACAUAAAGGAUCAGUGUGAUAUGAAAAUUCUAUCAGGUUUUGGACAAUUUUUCUAAUACAAAAUAGAUAUGCAACUUAUCUUCAUAAAAUAUGGAAUUCAAAAUUGACAAAUAGAGUUUUCCCCACUUAAAACCAUACUGCCAGAAGGGGUAAAAAUGAUCCCCUAAUUCAAAUGCCAGCCUACAGGUUAUUAAAUACCGAGAAGGAAGAAAUGUGCUCACAAGAGGUGCAAAGAACUGUGGGUGUUUAUACUUCAAGUAAUGCGAUGAAAUUGACUGUAACUAAUAGAGUGUGAAAUAGUCUCCGAAGGAGCAUAAUGAAGUCCUAAAGAAAAUAGCUUAAAACAGGAGUGGAUGAACGUCUUGAAAAUUCAAGCAAGGAAAAUCACUACUGCUUCGGAAGGAAAUCUGUCUCUUGGAUCCUGGUGUUCUUCUCAUGGGGAUGUAGUGAUUUCAAUGACUUCCUCUGGACCAUGGCUUGGCUGCACAGAUGAAAACAUCACCCAACAUUCAUGUCAGAACCAACUUGUUCAUCAGUUGCAACCAUGGAUUGGAUACAGUACUUUAAUUCCAUUCUGGAUUUUCAUUUAAACCAAUGUGUGAGAAGCUCUUGUACAUCACUCCAAGUCCUCUUGGAUGCACCUCUUACCGCAGCCACUGCUGCAGUGCCCAGUUUCUUAAAGACGUCCCUCAGCCUCACACAGGGGCAAUUUGACAGUACCUCACCUUGGGCACAGGCUUCCUCUACCUUCCUGCUUCAAAGCUUUUUUGAGGACACAGCUUGGAACUCUUGGUGGAUCUUAUGGACACUACAGGAUGGACAACUGAGUCUAUGGGGCUACCUUGACCAAUUGGAACAGAAGCUAAUGGAUAAAUACUAUUCCCUGGGCUGCAAGUUCUGACACGCUUUUCAUAAGCCUUCUCAGAGUGUCCUACAGGAUCAAAUACUGGUGUCCCAGCCUGGUUAGUAAUGAAGCAACGAAUCUUUUAAUUUGUUUUCCUUAUUUUCCUGUUAAGCCCACCUCACCCUCAAAUUCCUGAGAUCACAUUAGUUGCCUUGCAAGUCUUUGUUUAUAGCUGUGCCUUUGAGGGAACUCAGGCUAAUGAAACAUAGAGAUGUAGCUGUUUUCUCCAGAUCUAAGCACUAUUUCGGUUGUACUGAAUAGAAACCCAAAGAACCAGGAGACUAUUAAUGAAGCUUUAAUGAGCCCUGGCACUCAUUAGACAUGGAAUCCCAAGAACUGGCUGAAGUUUCUGUCCAAUAGGAUGACAAGCUGGGAAAUUUCCUGGCCCAACACUAAGCAGCUGGAGGGGAACGGAAAGUGAAUCAGGACUUUGUAUUCCCUCCUGUCCUCCAGGCACCUGCUCCCUCCCUUGCCCCAAGCCUCCUAAGAUUGAAUUGUUCUGCUCUGAAUUUAAUGGAAGACUCUGCCCUUGGAACUGCAUCUCAGAGCCAAAAGCAAAGCUAGUAAUGAGCCCCAGGUGAUAUGUCCAUUUGCUAUUCUGCUUCACAAGUUAACUGUAGCCAAAGAAUUUUAUUUUGUGCUUUCACGAUGCAUUUUUUAAAACGUGGAUUUACUCUACAACUAAAUUCUUAUUAUACUUUUCUUCUAUAUAUUUUUCCUGUGGUGUACUUAAAUGUGAAGUUACUUAUUUUUCCUAUAGAAAAUCCUAAUACAGUUCCAAACUUCCGCUCUAAUGACCAAAAUAAUGUUCAACUUCAUUAUAAGUCCCAAUUACAGUACAUGCAAUAAGGGAUUAUGCUCAAUUCAUUUUGCAGACUCACUUUAAUUUUUACCUUUAAAAGGUAUAAUUCCCUUUAUCAGAGAUAAUGAUUGUUUCCAGUGUUCAGAUUGUCAGCGAAAUAACAAGUAGCAAAUAUUUAAAACAGUAUUUUUUAAAGUCUCCUUUCUUUUUUUUCUUCCAGAUUUAUACUGAGUUUAAAAUUUGGAUCAUUAAUCAAAGAAAAGGAUUUUAUACAGUUAGCUGCAAAUAGAGAAGUGCAUUACCAAACUAGUGUCAUUUUAAUGGACCAGAUGACACAGCUCUAAAAAAUUUUAAUAUUAAAGCCUCUUUCUUCCCUUCAGAUGGACUUAUGUGACGUAGUUAAGGCUUAUUGCAGAGUAAAAUUGCUGAUGAAUCUAUUUUUAAUUUUUCUGAGCACUAAAGCACCCUGAAGAUAGACUCUUUGAUAUACAUGCCAUGUCUAGUUGAAAACUGUGUUUUGUAAGCUGGCCUUCAAAGCAGAGAAGAGAAAUUUGAUCAUUAAUUUAUUGGUAGCUUAAUUGCAUAUUCAGUUCAUAAGCCUUAAAAAUGUAAGUUUGUCUCUGAAAACAUAUGCAUACUUAAAUUACAUAAGGAUUUGUUUAUUGUCAGUAAGGAGAAGCAGUACAUUUGAAAUAUUUUAAUAUCUAAGAUUAUUUUGUAAUUUUUCUUUAGGACACUACACUUCUGCAGUCUGUCCUUAGGCUAAGUCAACACUUUAUUAUCUUACCACUUGUUAAUUCACAGAGUCUCACUUAACCUAAGUAUUUUUGACUUUCAAAACAGAAAUACUCUUUGAAUUUUAUUCAUGGAUUUUCUUAUAAUGUUUCUUCAAUGUUCACGUUAGUUAUCCUUUGAUCAUUUUCUCUUAAGAUCCAUACACAUAAAAUAGAUUUUAAGCUUGAGGGCUGCAUAGUAAACUAUACAAUAUUUAAAUUCUUAUGGAAGUUCUUCUCAAGUUCUUUCUCUCAAUUUCACUGAAUACAGCACAACUAGCCCUAUUUUCCACACUUAUUUCCCUAAUGUAAUUUAAAUGACAGGAAAGCAGAAUGCUUAUGAAACUAAUGUCACAUGUCUUCAGUUGCUGGAGAGGCCUCUUCUCACAGAGAAAAUCUCAAAUCCAUAAUUACCAAUUGCACUUCAAGUCUGAAGGUAUAAAAGGCACACCAUCGCUUACAAAGAAUGUUGCUAAGAGGACAAAGAGGGUGUUAGGUAGUCUAAUUUAUUGAGAGAUCGAGAAAAUAAUACUGUCAGAGGCAUUAUGCUCACCAACUAUUUCACUUGUUCCUUUACAUUUCCUAGCCCUGAAAUUCAGCAGGAAGCUGUCGAUAGCAAUGGCCAAUAGGCUAUGAACAGAAGGGAAGAGAGUCGUCCACAGUUCCAUAGAGUGAACCUCAGAUGGUGGAACCUCUGCUAGCCUGAGCAGACUUCUGCAGGAGAGUUUUCCUGCAGAGUUGCUUACAGACACACC
ensembl:lncRNA